rnacentral:rRNA from 1 species
CCUACGGGUGGCAGCAGUGGGGAAUAUUGGUCAAUGGGCGCAAGCCUGACCCAGCAAAGCCGCGUGAAGGAAGAAGGCUUUCGGGUUGUACACUUCUUUUUUCAGGGACGAAGAAAGUGACGGUACCUGAGGAAUAAGCCACGGCUAACUACGUGCCAGCAGCCGCGGUAAUACGUAGGGGGCAAGCGUUAUCCGGAUUUAUGGGGUGUAAAGGGCGUGUAGGCGGGAGGGCAAGGCAGAUGGGAAAACUCAGGGCUCAACCCUGAGCCUGCAUUUGAAACUGUGUGUCUUGAGUGCUGGAGAGGCAAGCGGAAUGCGGGGUGUAGCGGUGAAAUGCAUAGAGAUACGGAAGAACACCGAUGGCGAAGGCAGAUUGCUGGACAGUAACUGACGCUGAGGCACGAAAGCGUGGGGAGCAAACAGGAUUAGAUACCCCAGUAGUC